AUGUUACGAGCUUCUGGAAUACAAUGGGAUCUUCGUAAAGUAGAUCCUUAUGAGUGUUACAACCAAUUUGAUUGGAAAGUCCAAUGGCAAAAAGAAGGGGAUUCGUUAGCUCGCUAUUUAGUACGAAUUGGUGAAAUGAGGGAAUCCAUCAAAAUAAUUCAACAAGCUGUAGAAAAAAUUCCUGGAGGACCUUAUGAGAAUUUAGAAGUCCGACGCUUUAAGAAAGAAAAGAAUUCUGAAUGGAAUGAUUUUGAGUAUAAAUUUCUUGGUAAAAAACCUUCGCCCAAUUUUGAAUUGUCAAGACAAGAGCUUUAUGUAAGAGUAGAAGCCCCAAAAGGUGAACAUAGAUUAGUCCUACUAUCUUAA
rnacentral:rRNA from 1 species